AUGGAAGCCCUAGAUGUCUUUGUUUGUGGACAGGGGCCGGAGGGUCCAGCGGGUAACAGAGGGCUACAAGGGAAUGAAGGGCCCAUGGGUACAACUGGAGAUCCAGGUCCAAAAGGCUUUCCAGGUGUCACAGUAAGAUAUCUGAUUCAAAUCUCACCAUAUGUUUAUUUGACAUUUUAGUUAAUAUUUGCAAAUGUAUGUCUUUUAUCAUGUAUAACCUCAAUAAUUAAUCCCUCUAAAUUCAGGGAAGUAGGGGACCAGAUGGAGAGAAGGGUGACAGAGGACCCAAGGGGAAAAAAGUAAUCACCAGCACAAAAUACAUUCAACACAAUACAUUCAAAAAUUCUAAAGCUUUAAAUGCGUAAUUGGAGGAUUCAUGAAAUUGCCUAUUUAUGAUUAUACUGUAUGUUUUAGGGACCAAAAGGAGCAUUAGGGAUCAUGGGUCCACAGGGUGAAAGGGGCCAGUCAGGCCUCCCCGGUUUACCUGGUGUCAAAGGUCAGCCAGGUGCUCCAGGUGUCCAGGUAUACCAUUGCACAGAAGAUUCCAUAUGACAUGCCUUACUUUAUAUUCUUUAUAUGCAUAUAUGACAUAAUCUUUAAUAACUAAGAUUCAAAAUAAGGUUUCUUGACAAAAUAUAUUUGUUUUUCUCUCACCCUUUUUGCCCACAGGGUAUAAAUGGUGAAGUAGGUCCUCAGGGAACACUUGGAAAAGAGGGUCAAAAGGUCAGAGUGCUUUAUGUCUUUCAGGUGGAACGAUCACACCAAAAGCAUUCUUGUCACUCACCAUUUUACAUCAAUCUACCUGUGAUUGCUUAUCUAAAAAAAACAUUCUGCCCAAAGGCUCUUUCAUUGUGUCCUACUAAUAUAUGCACGUAAAUCAAUAACAUCUCUCUUUUUUUUUUGUUCUUUUUUUUUUUUUUGGAAACAAAGGGCAGCAGGGGUGAACCUGGUGGAAAUGGAAGAACAGGACUCAGAGGAUCCAAAGUAAAUUUGCUAUUUGUUUCAUAUAAAAAUCUGAAAAAUCCUGAGACCAACAGUGAAAAUGCAUCUACUGUACCUGCAAAUACAUCUAAAUUCCAUGUAUCAUUUAAAAACUAUAUUACUAUAAUAACAGUUUAAGGAAAAAGUCAAUAAUGGAAAAAUUUGCAUGAAUCACAUUAAUUUGAGAAUUAUUUAUUUAUUAAAUGGCCCGUUUUAAAUUAGGUUUUAAAUCCUUAGAUUUUUUUAUUAUUAUUAUUGUCUCAUGUUUUAUGUUUUGUUUUAUGAAAAAGCUAUAUAUUUAACAUUGUGUGUUAUGUAUAAACAAAAUGUAAGUGGUCCUGUAUUGUUUGAUUAAAUUCAGUCACGUUUUUCUGUAUGCUCAGGGUCGAGCAGGCCAACAUGGUCACUCUGGUGUACCUGGAAUAGUGGUAGGGAAAUUGAAUUGAAGUAAACUGAGUCCAGUUUUAUUUGGUUCAGGUUUUAUUGAAGUGAUCAUAUUUACAUUGUUGUUUUUGCAGGGUUUCCGAGGUCCAGUUGGUGCAGAGGGACCAGAAGGAAAGCCUGGUACACAGGUUCCCAUUUCAUACAUUUAAUAUCAAGUUUUUUUUAUUUUUUAUCAGUCAUUGUGAUUUAUCAUAUAUGAAUCUUUGCUUUACCAUUACAUCCAUGAAAGAAAUCUAAAUUGUGUUGAUUUUAUGUAUCUGUCUUGCAGGGUGUUUCUGGUUCUGUUGGAAGCCCAGGGGAUAAAGGACCUAAUGUAUGUUUCUCAUCAACCAAAAUAUUCUAUGAGAUAUAUUAGUCAGUUGAGAGCAGAUUGCUACUAUAAUAAAAGCUUGUUGUAAAGACUGAUAGCUCUUUAA
ensembl:lncRNA